GAAGGCGUAGCAUUGGAAAUGCUAUGUAGGCUUUUGUCUACCGAGGGUUCGAAUCCCUCUCUCUCCG
rnacentral:tRNA from 1 species